rnacentral:misc_RNA from 1 species
ACAACUCUGAGCGGCGGAUCACUCGGCUCGCGCGUCGAUGAAGAGCGCGGCCAGCCGCGAGAACUCGUGUGAAUUGCAGAACACACCGAGCAUUGACGUCUCGAACGCACAUGGCGGCCUCGGGUCCUCCCGGGGCCACGCCCGUCUGAGGGUCGGACGAACUGUACGUCGCGGUCGACGCCGCGCUUCGGAUCGAUUUUUCUCCUCCCCUUAACAACGGGAAGAGCGAUCCUCGCUAUCACGGUCGCCCCGAGUCGUUGGCCAAAAAGACUGGGGCGGCCCAUCCUCACCGGUAACACGGCGACGAUCGAGAAACUCGGCCGCGGACGGCGGAAGCGUUUUCGCUCUCGCAUCCUUGCCCGGCUCGAUAUCACGUUGAGCUCGGCGCUCGGGUCAUUAGAGAGAGUAGAGUCUCGCUUCUUGUUCCSGAAGGGGGUUGUUUUUUUUUAUUA